CCUGGGGAUGGGGACCCACGGACGCCUUCCAAGGCGACCUGUUUCCUCCCAAUGGAUCCUGCCACCUUCUGGUGCAAGAGACCUGAAAGUGUGGGUGACAUGGAGCUACCAGGCUCCUCAGUCAUCAGGGUCCCUCCCAACACUAAGGCUUUCCUAGGCAGGAGCUGGGCUGAGCCACCCGGGGGGCAGAGCCUGAAGAGAAACUGACUGGGCUUUCAGGGUCGGGGCAGAGGGAACACCACGGACAUGGAUCCCACACUGGAGGACCCCACAACGCCCAAAUGCAAGAUGAGAAGAUGCUCCAGCUGCAGCCCAAAGCCCAACACCCCCAAGUGUGCCAUGUGUGAUGGGGACAGCUUCCCCUUUGCCUGUACAGGUGGAGAAGCCGAGGACAGGCUCAGGGAACCGGAGACUGAGAAGGCGCUGUCCUCUUCACUGCACGCGCCCUGGACCAGUGCCGGCCCUGAUCAUGCAGCUCUUCCAGGCCCACUGCUUCUUCCCAUCCACUAGGCCACAGCCGCCCUCCAGGCCCACUAUGCACACAUCUUCCCCUCCAAGGUUUGUUCUGCUCCUGCCCUGACUCCCAGCCCUGUGGGGGUCCUGACCGCACCUCACCUGGCUCAGACUCUUGACGCUGCCCUGGCUGCCCCACCACUGCCUCUGCCUGAGAGUCACGUGAGGCUGAGAGUAGGGGCAGGGGCAGCAGUGGUGCCAGUUGGGGGGCGGUCCAGUGGGAGGAGCCUCAGCCUCACGGGCCGCUCCGUGGCACGGAUGACUGCAUGAUCUUCUGGGCACCUCACGGAUCUUCUUCUCCUGCCUCAGCCUUCCGGGUAGCUGGGAUUACAGGUGCAUGCUACCAUGUCCGGCUAAUUUUUGUAUUUUUAGUACAGACGGGGCUUCAUCAUCUUGGCCAGGCUGAUUUCGAUCUCCUGACAUCGUGAUCCACCUGCCUCCACCUCCCAAAGUGCUGGGAUUACAGGCGUGAGCCACCACACCUGGCCAAGGCCUGCUCCUCUUAUA
rnacentral:lncRNA from 1 species